rnacentral:rRNA from 1 species
GAUGAACGCUAGCUACAGGCUUAACACAUGCAAGUCGAGGGGUUUUCUUUAAGAAGCUUGCUUUUUGAAGAGAACGACCGGCGCACGGGUGAGUAACGCGUAUCCAACCUGCCUCUCAUAUUGGGAUAGCCUUUCGAAAGAGAGAUUAAUACCGAAUAACAUAUUGAAUUUGCAUGAGCUCAAUAUGAAAGCUCCGGCGAUGAGAGAUGGGGAUGCGUUUCAUUAGGUAGUAGGUGGGGUAACGGCCACCUAGCCGACGAUGAAUAGGGGUUCUGAGAGGAAGGUCCCCCACACUGGAACUGAGACACGGUCCAGACUCCUACGGGAGCAGCAGUCGGGAAUAUUGCGCAAUGGAGGAAACUCUGACGCAGUGACGCCGCGUAUAGGAAGAAGGUUUUUCGGAUUGUAAACUAUUGUCGAUAGGGAAGAUAAAAGACUGUACCUAUCAAGAAAGCUCCGGCUAACUACGUG